UGCUCUACUGUCCUACCCAGACUGACAGGUAUUACAACAGCCCAGUGCUCUACUGUCCUACCCAGACUGACAGGUAUUACAGCCCAGUGCUCUACUGUCCUACCCAGACUGACAGGUAUUACAGCCCAGUGCUCUACUGUCCUACCCAGACUGACAGGUAUUACAACAGCCCAGUGCUCUACUGUCCUACCCAGACUGACAGGUAUUACAGCCCAGUGCUCUACUGUCCUACCCAGACUGACAGGUAUUACAGCCCAGUGCUCUACUGUCCUACCCAGACUGACAGGUAUUACA